GGUCACUUGCCCUUCCUCAUGUGUCUGAUUGUCUUCCCUGAUCCCUGAUUGUGUCCACUUGUUCCCCAUUUCCCUCCAUGUGCUUAUAGUCUGUAUUUCCCUUUGUCCUGUGCCAGUGUGUCAAGUCCUUUGUCCUGAUCACCAGCCCUCUCGUCUUUUUUUUUUUUUGUUGGCUCUGCCCUUUUGUAGUUCUAGUUUGUGCUUUUGAUCAUCCCUCUUUGUGAGGCGCUUUUUGUUUUCCCACUGUUACGAAAUAAAGUCAUCUGCUUCAGCCCGUAUUCUGCGUUCGAGUUCUCUGCUUUGAGUUCCCCUGUUGUCACUGACGUUUGUGUACCGCCGCAAUAUGGUCCUUGACCCCCAGCAGUUGAGCAACAUACUGCCUGACUUUCCACGUUUUAAAGACGUCAAAGGCUUGGUAAUUAUCUAUCAUUAUUUUUAAAAUAUUAUGACAGUUGAAUAGUUUUUAUAAGACGGUAGACAGGCAUUGUCAUAGUACUAGAACAAUCACCCAUUAACUUUGGUUGCCUGUCAAAAAAUUGAAAUUGUCACCCAAUACAACCCCACUCCAGGUUUCAUUCUGAUGUUUGGAGAGGGUACCUCAAGCAAGCUUCUGGAGAGGUGGCUGAUCCUCCUGAGGAUGGCACUGAAGUGGAUGUUGAUUUUGAGCCACUGAAUUUUGUUGACAGUCUGCCAUCACCACCAGAGCUCAACCCUGUCUCCUGGCUGUUGGGAGUUAAGAAGAAAUCAAUCCAGCAGAUCUUCAUCAUUCUUGACAAGAGUCAAGAGGAGGAGAUGAGCAGACUGGUUCAAGAUGAUAGAAAAAGGCAGCGUAUACUAAGAAGUUGGUCUGUAAUAAAACAGUAGGGCAAUUAAUAUAUAUUCUUUUCAUUUCUUUAGGCAACAGAAAUGUGUAACAGGGUGGAACACUUCCUAAUCAAGGUGCCACAGACACCAGCCUUACCUGUUGAACAUCCGGAUAAUGAAGCUCCACCUCCAUAUUUGCCCCAACCACAAGGUGAAGGCAGUGCAAACAAGGGGGUGCAAGUCAUUGUCAUA